AACCUGCCCAAGAGAUCGGGAUAACACCUGGAAACAGAUGCUAAUACCGGAUAACAACAGAUGAUGCCUAUCAACUGUUUAAAAGAUGGUUCUGCUAUCACUCUUGGAUGGACCUGCGGUGCAUUAGCUAGUUUGGUAGGGUAACGGCCUACCAAGGCGAUGAUGCAUAGCCGAGUUGAGAGACUGAUCGGCCACAUUGGGACUGAGACACGGCCCAAACUCCUACGGGAGGCAGCAGGU
rnacentral:rRNA from 1 species